CUGUACAUUACAGAGCUCUGUUAUAAGGGAGGAGGCUGCUGAUUGGCCAGUAUCAGCUGGCUGCCCUGCUAUUGGCUGAUCCUCUCACACCCCCUCCUCUCGGGAGCUGAACACAGCAGCAGUAGCUUCCUUUUCAGUUAUUAUGAAGACAGGAAGCGCGCCACCCCUGCUGCUGAUGAAGUGCCAGGGACAGCAUUAGGAAUGGAGCCAUCACCAUGUGCCCAGGUGAAGUGACAAGGGCGAAUAGAGCGUCUUAUAGGGUGAAAAAUACGAGAACAUCUUGUACUUUUUAAAGAGAUUCACAUAGUAGUGAAUGGAGAAUCACAGACAGAGGAAGACAGGACCUGACCACACAGCUCUGUUUACAUCUUGCUCGGAGCUCUCGGAAGUUAAAGUAACGUUUUUAUUGCAAUGUGUUUCAUCACUGAACCCAAGACUUCUUCAUAUUUUGAAAUCAACAAUGUUGGUAAUACCUUCUCAAAGCUGGAGGAAGUAAAAUGGGCAAAGCAGAAUCCGACAGAACAGAUUGAAACAGAUGCAAAAUGAAAAUUCUAGAUUAAGCCUAUAGAAAUGAAUGGGAGCAUCAACACAAAGCAAUGAACAUCACAUCACUGAUAAACGAUGACUCAAUUAUUCUGUUUGGGAGGAUUCACCCUUAAAUGGGUUAUACAACCUUUUGAAAUCAGGUUAAACUGUUUAAUUUUUUUUUCAAUAAAUUACCUUUAGAAUUUGA